GACGAACGCUGGCUUGCGUGCUUAACACAUGCAAGUCGAACGGAAAGGCCCUGCUUUUGUGGGGUGCUCGAGUGGCGAACGGGUGAGUAACACGUGAGUAACCUGCCCUUGACUUUGGGAUAACUUCAGGAAACUGGGGCUAAUACCGGAUAGGAGCUCCUGCUGCAUGGUGGGGGUUGGAAAGUUUCGGCGGUUGGGGAUGGACUCGCGGCUUAUCAGCUUGUUGGUGGGGUAGUGGCUUACCAAGGCUUUGACGGGUAGCCGGCCUGAGAGGGUGACCGGCCACAUUGGGACUGAGAUACGGCCCAGACUCCUACGGGAGGCAGCAGUGGGGAAUAUUGCACAAUGGGCGGAAGCCUGAUGCAGCAACGCCGCGUGCGGGAUGACGGCCUUCGGGUUGUAAACCGCUUUCGCCUGUGACGAAGCGUGAGUGACGGUAAUGGGUAAAGAAGCACCGGCUAACUACGUGCCAGCAGCCGCGGUGAUACGUAGGGUGCGAGCGUUGUCCGGAUUUAUUGGGCGUAAAGGGCUCGUAGGUGGUUGAUCGCGUCGGAAGUGUAAUCUUGGGGCUUAACCCUGAGCGUGCUUUCGAUACGGGUUGACUUGAGGAAGGUAGGGGAGAAUGGAAUUCCUGGUGGAGCGGUGGAAUGCGCAGAUAUCAGGAGGAACACCAGUGGCGAAGGCGGUUCUCUGGGCCUUUCCUGACGCUGAGGAGCGAAAGCGUGGGGAGCGAACAGGCUUAGAUACCCUGGUAGUCCACGCUGUAAACGGUGGGUACUAGGUGUGGGGUCCAUUCCACGGGUUCCGUGCCGUAGCUAACGCUUUAAGUACCCCGCCUGGGGAGUACGGCCGCAAGGCUAAAACUCAAAGGAAUUGACGGGGCCCCGCACAAGCGGCGGAGCAUGCGGAUUAAUUCGAUGCAACGCGUAGAACCUUACCUGGGUUUGACAUGGAUCGGGAGUGCUCAGAGAUGGGUGUGCCUCUUUUGGGGUCGGUUCACAGGUGGUGCAUGCCUGUCGUCAGCUCGUGUCGUGAGAUGUUGGGUUAAGUCCCGCAACGAGCGCAACCCUUGUUCACUGUUGCCAGCACGUUAUGGUGGGGACUCAGUGGAGACCGCCGGGGUCAACUCGGAGGAAGGUGGGGAUGACGUCAAGUCAUCAUGCCCCUUAUGUCCAGGGCUUCACGCAUGCUACAAUGGCUGGUACAGAGAGUGGCGAGCCUGUGAGGGUGAGCGAAUCUCGGAAAGCCGGUCUCAGUUCGGAUUGGGGUUUGCAACUCGACCUCAUGAAGUCGGAGUCGCUAGUAAUCGCAGAUCAGCAACGCUGCGGUGAAUACGUUCCCGAGGCU
rnacentral:rRNA from 1 species